GCCCGGUUAGCUCAAUCGGUAGAGCGUGAGACUCUUAAUCUCAAGGUUGCGGGUAAGUGCAUAUACCUCAAUACAGGAAAGCCAUAUCGAUUAACAUCAGCCCUUAGGUUCGACCCCCGCAUCGGGCU